rnacentral:miRNA from 1 species
ACCGGUCCUUUGAGGUACGAAAC